AUGACCCCAACGCAGCCCUGUCACACUCCCACCCCUCUCCUCUCCGAAAUUUUGAAAUUGAAAGAACAAUCUCAAGAAAGAACCCUAGCCACCCAGUCCCGCCGCCCGCAGCCACCGCAGCCCCCAACCCCCGUAGCCACCGCAGCGUGUUAGGCAUCGCGUGUGGAAGCUCCGUCGCUGUCGCAGGAGCUGUGUCGCCGUCGUAGGAAGCUCCGUCGCGGUUCUCGGAAGCUGUGUCGACGUCGUAGGGAGCUCCGUCUCGGUCCUAGGAAGCUGUGUCGCCAUCGUAGGAAGCUCCCUCGCCGUCGUGUGGAAGCUCUGUGGCCGUCGCCCUCUCCUCUGUUUGAGCGCUCUCUCUCUCUCUGUGUUCGCCGGUGUCGCCGUCUCCUCUAUCGUCGACGUCACUUCCCUUCCUCCUCGCCGCCGUGAGGAUAGACGACUAAGAUGGCUUUUCAGUAAUUUUUGAGGAGGAAACUCCAAUCUCACUUUCAUGCAGCCACGCACCCUCAGUCCCCUCACCCUCACGUACGGCGCCACCUUUCCCUCUCAGCCCUCUCUCUGUCUCUCACCAGCCACCGUCACCACUCACCAGCCUCAGAGUCACCUUAGCCCGCGCCGAAGCUCCUCUGUUCGACUGCCUCUCUCACCUUCACGGCCACGGUGUGGCACUGCUUCUCGGUGACGACGACCUUCAGCGACGACGACACCACCAGUGGCUGCGAAGUGCGACAGCGCUUCUCUGCUCUAUUUUCCCGGGGCUGCUGUCCCGGUCGUCUUCUUCUUCUCUGCCACCAUCAGUCAGCCAUUAGAAGCCCCGACAAAGUGUAACGGGGAUUUCACUGUUUCCCACGUUUCCCACUCAUGGCUGAGCUUACUUCAACUCCAUCCAAUUCUAAAAACGCCAAUUUAUCUUGUUUCCAACCAACGGUUUGCUUGUAUGAAUGGUGGCUGGUUAAAGCUAAACAUGGAUUCGAAGGAAAGCAGUUAGCCAUUGGAGGCAUUGCAUCAAAAAGGGAAGAAGUAGUGCGUGUCUUCACCAGUGCUCCCAUUGCGAAACGGCAUGAUCUGUUCUCUCUUGAGACCACAGAUGGGGUUUAUAUUAUCAUAAGGGGUUUCAUUGACGAGCAGCGCACCAUUGAUAAUGGUUUCCCUCCUGAGGUUUUCAGUCAUUUCUUAUUUGGUUUUCCUCAAAACUGGGAAAGCUAUGCAGCAGAUUUGAUUAGGGAUGAAUCAACUAUUGGCACUGAUUUGGGUAGUGCUGUUCCUAAAAAUGUAUCAUCAAUUGAUCCUGAGAUCUUCUCUGCUGCUCAAGAAAAAUCUAUCCUGUCUUCUUCGAAACCUUUAAAGGAAGCAUUUGGAGCUCAUGGGAAGCCACAUGCUGAAGGUGAAUGGUAUGAUUCUAACGCUACAUGUGGGGUUAAUGCUGCUCAAGGUAGUGGCAGCAUUAGACGUGUUACCAGGUAUUAUAACAGGAAAGUCUGUCAGCAGAAGCAGGCUGCUUCUGGAAUUACUCUGAAACAUCCCGAGGAACUGAACAGUCCAGUGACACCAGCUCAGUUGCAAUCUCUGGAAAAAGUAACUACAGAAAAAGUAAAUACACCAUCUGAGCAUCUCGAUGAAAGCUCUACAUCUAGAGUUUCUAGAACUUUAUUUGAAAAUGAAGAAGGCUGUUCUAGGAGAAAGAAAGCUACAAGUGAAAAAGGUCAGAUCACGUGUGAAAGAAAAAUGGCUAGAUCUGCCACUGCAACCAAAUAUCCACGAAAAAGGGGUUUAAGCCCCUCGAUCAUUGGUGAGAAAGAGAAGAUAUCCUCAGUGUCUGCUCUAUCAAGUUUCAAAAAGUCCAGAUCAGGAAGGUUGCUUCUACCACCAUUAGAGUUUUGGCGUAACCAGAUACCGAUUUACAAUGCGGACCAUGAGGUUACAGAAAUUCAGGGAGGUGCAUCUGUGGUUCAAUAGAUAAAGGUUCUUCAGCAUCAUUGAGCCGCUCAUGAUAUUUAGCAAGUGGAGGUCAAUCUGUGCCAAAGCUAAUGCAAAACUAAGAUGUUAACUGUUACUAAUUUGAAGAAAAUCACAAAAUUUCCUAGGAGAAUUUGACAUAUUUUAGAGGUUUUCCCCUACGAAGAUUCCCAUGGCACCUUCACCAGCACUGACUACGAGGUGAAGGAGUAUAGGGAGCAGUGGAUGAAGAACGAAGACGUUGCUUAUGUUGCAGUGAAUUGCAUGUGCCAUUAUGAUACCGGGUUUAGGCUAUGUUAUUUAUUCAAAUAUGUUUAUCUUCUCCCAAGGCAUACAAGUGGAUGAUACAACAACCCUGGUUCGGUUUCAUUUCUAGCAGAUUGCAUGGGUAAUGAUUAAUGAACAAAAAGUUUUCAAAGUGGCGUGGGAUUUUUGAUGAUAUAAUUGAUCAUGGCUGUGUCCCUAGUGAGUCAAUGUUUUGUGUAUUGAUUUCUGCAUCGUUAAAGAUAUUCUGGAUGAAGCAUUCAUCAUUUACAGUCAUAUUAUUGAGGUUACCAACCUUGCCUUGGCUUGCAUAAUUCCCUCUGCGUGUCCUUGUAAGCAAACCCGGGAACUUUUCAAAGCAUUACCUAAAACAAGCUAAAUUUAUCUAUUGUAAUUUAGUUGCAACUGGACUUGAUGUACAUUACUACAUAAAGUUAGCAAUGAAUGCCUAAUUUGGCUACA